UUUUUUCAAUUCAAUUACGUUAUUCUAUCUCUUUCAUAUUUCGAUUUACAUCUUUCGAUUUACAUGAAUUACUUCUGAAUUAUUGGAUUAUUUUUUUUUGUAAUUAUGUGUUUUAAUUUCUAGGGUUUGUGUAAUUUUCAUUGUUCUUUUGGCAUUUGGACGAAAUUGUGGUAAUUAUAGAACUAUUUGUCUUUAAAAUUCAUCUAAUUUCGUAAUUGCUUUUGUGAAAUUAGUUUUUUCCCCUUGUGAAUUUUGUGGUAUUGAAACUUUGUGGAUCCCAAAUUCUAUAGGGAAGUUGAUAUAUCUAUGAACCUUAAUCUUAGAAAUACUAGCAUUGAAUGUCUUCCUAGCGCCAUAACAAAAUUAGACAACCUGCAAAAUUGGACAUUAUGUGUUGCAGUCAGGUUAAAGAGUUGCCAAGAAAUUUUGUUAAAUUGGACAACCUCAAGUACUUGGUAUUUUUUUUGGGAGCGGUUUGACUGAUUUGCCGUCAGGAUUUGGGAAAUUGACAUCUUUGUAGAAGUUAAAUAAAUUCAUGAUUGGGAAAGGCAAUGGUAUAGACUCUCUUCCAGCCUUGAAUCUUGUAGGACAUUAUAUCUCUCUGUCCAGUUUUCAUACCUUGACCAAGAGUUUCUGUUAUAUCUUUUAGAGUUUGGUUUCAUAUUGUAUAUGUUCAAGUACUUUUUGUUAUAUCUCCAUAUGUUACUCAGGGGCCGUGGUCUUAAACUCUUAAUUAUUAGUUUAGAAUUCAGACUUAAAUGAAUGCUUUCGAAGAACAAUGAAUGUUUCGCUAGGAACCAUACUACUUACCCUCUUCAUAGAAUUUCCAGCGGCGGCGAAUCUGGAGGAUGUGGGAGUUCAAACAGUCAUUAUAGAGUACACAAACUGGUGUUAUUUCUGGGUAUGAUUGGUUUUUUUAUAAUUCAAGUAUAAUUUCUUUCAUAAUAACCCUCUUUUUAAUUGAAAGUUUUGUUUUAUUGUUGUAAUUGCUUGCGUGCGAAUUGGACUGAUGGGUUGUUUGAACUAUGGUGUUCUUGAUCAAUUGGGUGUAAAAUUCAAGUGUAGUUUCAUCGGAAAAUAGCCCCUUUUUUUUUAUUGAAGUUUUGUUUUUUAGUUGUAAUUGCUUCAAAUUUACUUGAUGGGUUGUUCGAGUUAUAGUGUUCUUGAUUGUUUGAUUAAUUGGGUUUUUAAUUUAAGUGUAGUUUCUUUCAUGCUAUUGUAAGUUCAAUGCUAGAAUGUAGACAACUAGACAAUGAUCCGUUUUUUAAGGUUAGAUUGUUGCUGCCAUUCCUUGAUAGAGAUCAUUGGAAAAUAGUUUCUUUGUUUCUUUGUUUUUCUAUAUACUGCCUACAGAGUAUUUAAUAUUGCAGUUUUUUUAUUAUCAAUAGUUAGUUGUUGGGACGAUAGUUAAAACAACUAGCGAAUUUCUACUUCCCUCUUGGCUAAUUUUGAUUGUCGCCUAUCAAUCGGUACUACCUAUUGUUUAAGACAUUUAUUUUGAUCAUUCUAUUAAUAACUCUAUUCGAAUAACUCUAUUCUUAACAAAUUUGAUUCUUUGUAUGUUUACAUUAGGUAGUGCUUUUUUUGGCAUAGAGUACAUGAUAUGUUAGGUGAUACUUGUCUGUUCCUAUACUCAGCGUUUCAUCAAUAGUACACUUGAGUUUCACUGGGAUAAAUCUGUUAUUAUUCAGUACAUGUAGUCUGUUAAUACAAGGAGACCGUGGUUGAUAAGAAACAAGUGAUAUUUGAAAAUUAGGUGGCCCGAACCACUUCUUUUUCCUUAAGUUUCCUACUUUGAGUAUAGAGCGUUCUUGCUUACAGGCACUCACCUCUACACAACAUUAGGAGACAAUGGGAGCUAUCAUCUGAUCGAACUGCACAGUACCCAUCUACCAUGUUAUUGCCAGCUGACCAUGAUGAUCGUGUGGUGCCUUUGCACUCACUUAAAUAGUUGGCUGUGUGUUCUCUGAAACUGCUGCAGUGCAUGCUUUUUCUUGUCACUAAGUGAUACCAUGCCGCACACGCCUUUCCUUUCCUAAAAUAUGUACUGUAUUAUAUUGCAGACAUUGCAACAUGUUCCUUGCACAAGCUUGGAGAAUAGCCCUCAAAAGAAUCCAAUUAUUGAUAGAACUAAGUUUAAGGCUGGUCAUGGAGCAGGACGCCCAACUCAAAAGAUGGUUGGUACCCUAUAAUGCGAGUUCGUGUUGAAAACAUCAGGAAGGCUUGAACAUAACAGCAACGAAAGAUUGGACAAACUUCAGACUGUAAGCUUCAGUGGAGUGUAGUGUGGCCCAGAAUGAUGAUCUUGAUGGUAAAUAGAGUUUUAAUCUCGCAAUGCUGCAGGGUACUUACUUAAUUACCUAAGGUGGAAUAUGCAUCAAGUCUGACAGACAAAUAGGGAGGGCAGCAGACAAAACUUGGUUUGCACGUCACUAAGUGGAGAGCGUUUCACCAAUGAGCAAAUUGAUGAAAUACGAGACAAAUGGGAAUCAUACUUCACCGAACAUUGUGUGUAAAUAACCUUUCAUCGAUCUCUUUUUGUGGAUGUUUCCUGCUAUUGAAGUCAUAUAUAAUUGCCUUAUUAUAUUUUUGGUGCAAAAUUGUAACGUACGAAGUGUAAAAGACAUGGUUACGUUCGACUUCAAACGUAACUAUUUAGUUGGUUUAUUUUUGUAAACAUAUGAUGGUGGUAUUAUAUGUAAAAAUCAAAGUUUAUUGGAAGUUAUUGGUGGUUGAUGAUA